rnacentral:rRNA from 1 species
GACGUAGGAGGCGAGCGUUAUCCGGAUUCACUGGGCGUAAAGCGCAUGUAGGCGGUUGCGUAAGUCGUGUGUUAAAGCCCCUGGCUCAACUGGGGGAGGUCAUGCGAGACUACGAGACUUGAGGGUAGGAGAGGAGAGUGGAACUCCCGGUGUAGCGGUGGAAUGCGUAGAGAUCGGGAAGAACACCAGUGGCGAAAGCGGCUCUCUGGCCUACGACUGACGCUGAGAUGCGAAAGUGUGGGGAGCAAACGGG